AGUGGCAGACGGGUGAAUAACAUGUAGGUAUCUGCCCAUUGGCCUGGAAUAACACGAGGAAACUUGUGCUAAUACCGGAUAAGUCUUUACGGAGAAAGCUUUAUGCACCAUUGGAUGAGCCUGCACUUGAUUAGUUUGUUGGUGGGGUAAUGGCCUACCAAGACUGUGAUCAAUAGCUGAUUUGAGAGGAUGAUCAGCCACAUUGGGACUGAGACACGGCCCAAACUCCUACGGGAGGCAGCAGUGGGGAAUCUUGCACAAUGGAGGAAACUCUGAUGCAGCGAUGCCGCGUGAGUGAAGAAGGCCCUUGGGUUGUAAAGCUCUUUCGUCGGGGAAGAAAAUGACUGUACCCGAAUAAAAAGGUCCGGCUAACUUCGUGCCAGCAGCCGCGGUAAUACGAAGGGACCUAGCGUAGUUCGGAAUUACUGGGCUUAAAGAGUUCGUAGGUUGUUGAAAAAGUUGGUGGUGAAAUCCCAGAG
rnacentral:rRNA from 1 species